GAUGAACGCGUAGCUACAGGCUUAACACAUGCAAGUCGAGGGGCAGGCAUGAACAUAGCUUGCUAUGUUUGAUGGCGACCGGCGCACGGGUGCGUAACACGUAUCCAAUCUGCCCGUUACUCGGGGAUAGCCUUCUGAAAGGAAGAUUAAUACCCGAUGGCAUGUAUUUCCGGCAUCGGAGAUACAUUAAAGAUUUAUCGGUAACGGAUGAGGAUGCGUACGAUUAGCUGGUUGGCGGGGUAACGGCCCACCAAGGCGACGAUCGUUAGGGGUUCUGAGAGGAAGGUCCCCCACACUGGAACUGAGACACGGUCCAG
rnacentral:rRNA from 1 species